AAACCAUGGUGGGGACACUUCAAAAUCAGGUCCUUAAAUCUUUCCCAUCUCUCAUAAAAAUUUUCAUUAUCUUCUUGAUAAGAACCAGAAAUCUCUCUCCUCAAAGCAU